AAAGAUAACACACCUUAAACCUCCUCCCCUAGCCUUCAUUAUAAAUGGCUAUAGUGGCUAACCUUGAUCCAUCUUUCAUGGUAAACCAAGGGAAAACGAAAUGAAUGACAGUGCUCAUUGGGAAGUGCAAUACGCGCGAUUUUUCAACUUUCCACUUUCUCUCUCCUCCACCCCCACAUCUUCCUUUCUCCGGCCUAUCUUCGCAAGCAAGAAACAGCGUCUGAAGGGAACGUGGCUUUCUUCCUCUUCUUCGAAUGUCUCUGUUGACAUUCUCUUCUAUAAUCAAACCCUUUCUCAACCAACUCUUGUUGUUUCCCUUAACGAAAGAAUCUAUGAAGAACACUACAUUUCGAAGCUGAAUUUUACAUGGCCAAAGGGAUCUGAUGUUUCAGAAUGCUCUCUCAGAGAAAGCAGAGUAAUAUUUGCUAGCUACAGAGAUGACAUGGGCCAGAUUCAGAAGUUUGCCCUUCGGUAUGCCUCUUCUACAGAAUCAAGGAAAUUUAUGGAGUUAUUGAAGUGCUUGAAGGAAGGAAGAGAUUGUUCACGUGGCAUGCCGCGCUGUGUGUUCACUGGGGGAAUUGAUGAAGAGCAUAGUCCACUUCGGCAACCUUCAAUCAACCAUGAGCAUGGUCUUAACUCAUGUUUGGAGGAAGCAGUUCAGGAUCAUGCUGUUGGAGGCACAGAUGUGGCAUUGCCUCAGAGUUAUUCUGCACUUCUUGCUGACUGUUGCACUGAGACUGAUAUAGGAGUAUCUCAAGCACCUACAGAAGCUAAUUUGAAGCGUUUUCUUAAAGAGAAAAGGCUGGCAGACAACUUCUUAGACCUGAUGGACAUGAUGGACUCUGUUAUCAUCGGACUCGGAGGAGGCUUGGCAAUGUGAGUUCAAGAUAAUAUUGUUAUCAUUGGACUUAAAGGAGACUGGGCAAUGUUGAGGGCUGAUUCUAUGUCUAAACCAUCUCUAAGUAGCGAAAUUAUCGGCACAUGAGUCAGGUACAUUGUACCGUCUGAUUUUGUAUAAUAAGUAAAUUAAAGGCAAAGCAAAUUUAGGAACUUGUGAGGCAAAGGACCACAUUAGGUAUUCAAUGGACAAGUCAAACACAGAUCUGCAAGAAUCCAUUACAUGGAUUUUCUCUUUGUCAAUUUAAGAUUGAGAUCAUUUAAUUUGUAGUGCUAAAUUAGAUACACUAUGUUCAUUUUGUACUAUAUUUCCAUGUGUAUGAUUGGAUUUGGAUAGAGAAUGAAAGGAAAAGAAUGGCAGGAAUCCCUUUAUUCUGUGAUGAUGGGAUUGGAUUUAAGGGAAAAGGAAAAGUUGUUGGGAGGUAUGAUAAAUAACCAUAUGACAAUCUUUAUGUUUAUAGUUGCAUCUUGCUAUUGAAGACCCAAAUGUGAAACAU